rnacentral:ncRNA from 1 species
AGGUGCCGCAAGGCAUAAUAGGGAAGAUCGGUGUGAUGCCGACACGGUCCCGCCACUGUGAAGCGGAGCGAGUUUUCAUAACCAUUGGGAAACCGAGAAGGGAAAACAAGCGAGGAUGCGAAGUCAGGAGACCUGCCUGUUAGGAU